GGGGGAUUAGCUCAGAUGGGGGAGCGCUUGCAUGGCAUGCAAGAGGUCAUCGGUUCGAGCCCGAUAUCCUCCA
rnacentral:tRNA from 1 species